rnacentral:snRNA from 1 species
AGCUUUGCGCAGCGGCAAUAUCGUAACCAAUGAGGUUCUACCGAGGUGCGAUUAUUGCUAGUUGAAAACUUUUACCAAUACCCCGCCAUGACGAUGUGAAAUACCAUCGGCUACGGCAAUUUUUGAAAACCCCUGCGGGGG